rnacentral:rRNA from 1 species
AUUGAACGCUGGCGGCAGGCCUAACACAUGCAAGUCGAGCGGAUCGGCGGCCGGGUGAGUAAUGCCUAUGAAUCUGCCUGGUAGUGGUGGAUAACGUCCGGUACCGGGCGCUAAUACCGCUUACUCUCACAUGCGCCUAGGUCGGAUUAGCUAGUUGGUGGGGUAAAGGCCUACCAAGGCGACGAUCCGUAACUGGUCUGAGAGGAUGAUCAGUCACACUGGAACUGAGACAAGGUCCAGACUCCUACGGGAGGCAGCAGGGGGGAAUAUUGGACAAUGGGCGAAAGCCUGAUGCAGCCAUGCCGCGUGUGUGAAGAAGGUCUUCGGAUUGUAAAGCACUUUAAGUUGGGAGGCGUUACCAACAGAAUAAGCACCGGCUAACUUCGUGCCAGCAGCCGCGGUAAUAC